rnacentral:rRNA from 1 species
UGCGUAGGGGGCAAGCGUUGUCCGGAAUCAUUGGGCGUAAAGAGCGCGUAGGCGGCCCGAUAAGUCCGCUGUGAAAGUCAAGGGCUCAACCCUUGAAUGCCGGUGGAUACUGUCGGGCUAGAGUCCGGAAGAGGCGAGUGGAAUUCCUGGUGUAGCGGUGAAAUGCGCAGAUAUCAGGAGGAACACCAAUGGCGAAGGCAGCUCGCUGGGACGGUACUGACGCUGAGGCGCGAAAGCGUGGGGAGCAAACAGG